rnacentral:rRNA from 1 species
CCUACGGGAGGCAGCAGUGAGGGAUAUUGCACAAUGGGGGGAACCCUGAUGCAGCGACGCCGCGUGGGUGAAGAAGCGCCUCGGCGCGUAAAGCCCUGUCAGCAGGGAAGAAAAUGACGGUACCUGACGAAGAAGCCCCGGCUAACUACGUGCCAGCAGCCGCGGUAAUACGUAGGGGGCAAGCGUUAUCCGGAUUUACUGGGUGUAAAGGGGGCGCAGACGGCGAUGCAAGCCAGGAGUGAAAGCCCGGGGCCCAACCCCGGGACUGCUCUUGGAACUGCGUGGCUGGAGUGCAGGAGGGGCAGGCGGAAUUCCUGGUGUAGCGGUGAAAUGCGUAGAUAUCAGGAGGAACACCGGUGGCGAAGGCGGCCUGCUGGACUGCAACUGACGUUGAGGCCCGAAAGCGUGGGGAGCAAACAGGAUUAGAUACCCGAGUAGUC